UACGAAGGGGGCUAGCGUUGCUCGGAAUGACUGGGCGUAAAGGGCGCGUAGGCGGUUUGUACAGUCAGGUGUGAAAUUCCCGGGCUCAACCUGGGGGGCUGCACUUGAUACGUAUGGACUGGAGUGGGGAAGAGGGUCGUGGAAUUCCCAGUGUAGAGGUGAAAUUCGUAGAUAUUGGGAAGAACACCGGGUGGCGAAGGCGGCGACCUGGUCCUUGACUGACGCUGAGGCGCGAAAGCGUGGGGAGCAACAGG
rnacentral:rRNA from 1 species